rnacentral:rRNA from 1 species
UACGGGGGGGGUAAGCGUUGUUCGGAAUUACUGGGCGUAAAGGGCUCGUAGGCGGCCAACUAAGUCGGACGUGAAAUCCCUCAGCUUAACUGGGGAACUGCGUCCGAUACUGGAUGGCUUGGAUUUGGGAGAGGGAUGCGGAAUUCCAGGUGUAGCGGUGAAAUGCGUAAAUAUCUGGAGGAACACCGGUGGCGAAGGCGGCAUCCUGGACCAAUAUUGACGCUGAGGAGCGAAAGCCAGGGGAGCAAACGGG